GCNGGCUACACAUCCAGUCUAUACGGUACAGAAAGUAGCUUGCUACUUUGCUGACGAGCGGCGGACGGGUGAGUAAUGCUUGGGAACAUGCCUUGAGGUGGGGGACAACAGUUGGAAACGACUGCUAAUACCGCAUAAUGUCUACGGACCAAAGGGGGCUUCGGCUCUCGCCUUUAAUUGGCCCAAGUGGGAUUAGCUAGUUGGUGAGGUAAUGGCUCACCAAGGCGACGAUCCCUAGCUGGUUUGAGAGGAUGAUCAGCCACACUGGGACUGAGACACGGCCCAGACUCCUACGGGAGGCAGCAGUGGGGAAUAUUGCACAAUGGGCGCAAGCCUGAUGCAGCCAUGCCGCGUGUGUGAAGAAGGCCUUCGGGUUGUAAAGCACUUUCAGUCAGGAGGAAAGGUUAACGGUUAAUACCCGUUAGCUGUGACGUUACUGACAGAAGAAGCACCGGCUAACUCCGUGCCAGCAGCCGCGGUAAUACGGAGGGUGCGAGCGUUAAUCGGAAUUACUGGGCGUAAAGCGUACGCAGGCGGUUUGUUAAGCGAGAUGUGAAAGCCCCGGGCUCAACCUGGGAACUGCAUUUCGAACUGGCAAAACUUAGAAGUUGUUGAUCAGAGGGGGUGGGUAGAAAUUUCCGGGUGUUAGCCGGUUGAAAAUUGCGUAGAGAUCUGAAGGAAUUCCGAUUGGGCGAAAGGCGCCCCUGGGGUCCACACUGACGCUCAUGUUCGAAAGCGUGGGGAGCCACGGGUUUGUU
rnacentral:rRNA from 1 species